rnacentral:rRNA from 1 species
AAAAGUUGUAACAAGGUCUCCCUUUGGUGAACCAGCCGAGGGAUCAUUACAGAGUUGCAAAACUCCCCAAACCAUUGUGAACCUUACCUCUAACCGUUGCUUCGGCGGGCGGGGCCACAGCGCCCCCCCGGGCCCCCCAGCGGGGCCGCCCGCCGGAGGAUACCCAAACUCUUGCUACUGUAUGGCCUCUCUGAGUCUUCUGUACUGAAUAAGUCAAAACUUUCAACAACGGAUCUCUUGGUUCUGGCAUCGAUGAAGAACGCAGCGAAAUGCGAUAAGUAAUGUGAAUUGCAGAAUUCAGUGAAUCAUCGAAUCUUUGAACGCACAUUGCGCCCGCCAGUAUUCUGGCGGGCAUGCCUGUUCGAGCGUCAUUUCAACCAUCAAGCCCCCGGCUUGUGUUGGGGACCUGCGGCUGCCCGCAGGCCCUGAAAACCAGUGGCGGGCUCGCUAGUCACACCGAGCGCAGUAGCAUCAUUCUCGCUCAGGGCGUGCUGCGGGUUCGAGCCGUUAAAAGCCUCCAAUACCCAAGGAGACCUCGGAUCAGGAGAAGACCCGUAAUA